GACGAACGCUGGCGGCGUGCUUAACACAUGCCAGUCGAACGGAAAGGCCCUGCUUUUGUGGGGUGCUCGAGUGGCGAACGGGUGAGUAACACGUGAGUAACCUGCCCUUGACUUUGGGAUAACUUCAGGAAACUGGGGCUAAUACCGGAUAGGAGCUCCUGCUGCAUGGUGGGGGUUGGAAAGUUUCGGCGGUUGGGGAUGGACUCGCGGCUUAUCAGCUUGUUGGUGGGGUAGUGGCUUACCAAGGCUUUGACGGGUAGCCGGCCUGAGAGGGUGACCGGCCACGUUGGGACUGAGAUACGGCCCAGACUCCUACGGGAGGCAGCAGUGGGGAAUAUUGCACAAUGGGCGGGAGCCUGAUGCAGCAACGCCGCGUGCGGGAUGACGGCCUUCGGGUUGUAAACCGCUUUCGCCUGUGACGAAGCGUGAGUGACGGUAAUGGGUAAAGAAGCACCGGCUAACUACGUG
rnacentral:rRNA from 1 species